GAAACUAACCAGGAUUCCCCUAGUAACGGCGAGUGAAGCGGGAAAAGCUCAAAUUUUAAAUCUGGCUGGCGUGGUCAGUCCGAGUUGUAAUUUGAAGAAACGGUUAUCGCGCUGUUUGUUGAGUCUAAGUUCCUUGGAAUAGGACAUCAAAGAGGGUGAGAAUCCCGUCUAGACUCUCACGAAUAGUAUACGUUAACGUUUCUAAGAGUCGAGUUGUUUGGGAUUGCAGCUCUAAUUGGGUGGUAAAUUCCAUCUAAGGCUAAAUACAGACGAGAGACCGAUAGCGAACAAGUACCGUGAGGGAAAGAUGAAAAGAACUUUGAAAAGAGAGUUAAAUAGUACGUGAAAUUGUUGAAAGGGAAACGAUUAAAGUUAGUCGUGCCGGUGGGAAAUCAGCUUACAAGUUAUUGUGAGUGCACUUUCUCGCAAGGCAGGUUAGCAUCGGUUUUGGUUGCGUUAAAAUGAUUGCAAGAAGGUAGCUCUUUCGGGAGUGUUAUAGCUUGCUUUAGAUGACGUAGCUAAGACCGAGGAUUGCAGCGAAUGCUUUUGGCUACGGAUCUGGCCUCUGUCGACGAUUAAUUGGCCGUGAGCUUGCUCACGUACGGUUGACUCGUUUACAAAAGUUCAGAAUCCGAUAAAUUCGCUAAGGAUGCUGACGUAAUGGCUUUAAACGAC
rnacentral:rRNA from 1 species